rnacentral:misc_RNA from 1 species
UCAAUUUCUUCAAUGGUUAGCACAUUUUCGUCUUUUCUUCCAAUUUUAAAACGUCAACUAAUUUCCAUUUUGUUCAUUCAUUAUCGGUUUUCAUUAAAAGAUUUCCUACAAGUGCUAAUGUUUUCUUGUAAAAUAGUGUCAUGCGAUCCGGAUUACGUAUCCAUCCAGAUUGAGCACUGUAAGCCUUUGGUGAUUGGAAGAGGGCCCUUGACAAGGAUUAAAGAUCCGAGACUUUCUCGAAAUCACGUCAAGCUGGUAGCAGACUGUGAAAAGGGGUUGCUGAGUGUUAAGCUGAUUGGAGCCAAUGCUUGCAAAGCUGGAACCUCAAUACUAAAAGCUAAAGAUGAAUCUGUUCAGCUUAAACAUGGAGAAAUUAUAGAGUUACUUGAAAAGCAAUUUCCAUUUCGUGUGGAAUUUAGUCCAGAUCCAAAUCAAGUCCCGUCAUCAGUAACAAGCUCAUCAAGUUCUGAAGAAAUAAUGGUGGGGAAGCAGACAACUCUUAAUAAUUUUAUAACAACAAAGAGGAAAUCAACAUCUGCUGAAGAAGAUGUCCAAGACCCCAGUUUCUUGGCAAAAAAGCAGAAAAUGGAAGAUACAUGGGAGGAGAUUGACAAUGGCAAACUGAUUAUAUUCACAAGUGAUGGAGUGCAGCACAAAUCAAAAAUUGCAGCCUUUGAUUUGGAUGGAACCAUCAUCACAACUCAAUCUGGGAAAGUAUUUCCAACAAAUUGCCAAGACUGGAAGCUAAAUUUCAGUCAGGUUCCUGGCAAACUUAAAAAAUUAAUAGAAGAUGGAUUUAAAAUUGUUUUCAUCACUAACCAAGCCGGAUUAAGUAACGGAAAGCUCAAACCGUUAGAUUUUCGAAAGAAACUCUGUGAUAUCCGUUCAAAGUUGGGAGUUCCAAUCCAAGUUUUUAUCUCAUCCGGUUCGGGAAAAUACAGGAAACCCUCUACCGGAAUGUGGAUAUACCUUACAGAUAAAGCAAACGGUUCCGUCCCAAUUGAGCUGGAAUCGUCUUUUUAUUGCGGUGAUGCAGCUGGGCGCGAGGCCAAAUGGGCGCCAGGGAAGAAAAAGGAUCAUUCGUCUGUCGACCGUCUUUUAGCCAUCAACGUCGGUUUGAAAUUUUACACGCCCGAAGAAUUUUUCUUGGGACACCGAUCGGUUCCGCAUAAACAACCAGAUUUUGAACCCCGUAAUGUGGACGCAUCAGUUCCUCUUUUGGAACCUUCGGACGCCCCCCUGUUCCAGAAAAAGCAAGAAGUCAUUCUACUGGUUGGGUUUCCGGGAUCUGGCAAAAGUCAUUUCGCAGAACAACACGCGCUUCAGUCAAGUUAUGAUGUUAUCAACCGUGACUCCUUAGGCACUUGGCAGAAAUGUGCAGCAGCCGUAGAAAAAUGUCUCGACGCCGAGGGCUACCUUGCCGCUGUUUUGUGAUGAACACCACCAUGACGCAUGCCUUACAUAACAACAAGUUUCGAGAACUAACUGAUGCGAAGCACGUCCCUGUUUCUCGAAUGAUCUUCAACGUACACAAAUCAAAGUACCAGGAACCAAGUUUAGACGAAGGAUUCAGUCAAAUUGUCCGUGUCAACUUCCAACCCAAGUUCCGUUCUGCCGAAGAUGAGCGUCUUUACAAAAUGUAUCUUCUUGAAGAUUAAGGAUGUUUCUAGUAAAUGGAUUUUCAUUAA